AACGCACAUUGCGCCCGCCAGUAUUCUGGCGGGCAUGCCUGUUCGAGCGUCAUUUCAACCCUCAAGCCCCCGGGCUUGGUGUUGGGGAUCGGCACAAGGCGCUGGCACCCUCGGGAGCCCGCGCCCGCCGUCCCCCAAAUCCAGUGGCGGUCACGCCGUGUGUACCUCAGCGUAGUAGCAACACCUCGCUCCGGAACCCUUCUGUGAACCACGCCGUAAAACCCCCGACUUUUUUCUGGUUGACCUCGAAUCAGGUAGGACUACCCGCUGAACUUAA
rnacentral:misc_RNA from 2 species